rnacentral:rRNA from 1 species
AAACGCUAGCGGCAGGCCUAACACAUGCAAGUCGAGGGGCAUCGGAUAGAGUACUUCGGUACUCUUGCCGGCGACCGGCGGACGGGUGCGUAACGCGUAUGCAACCUACCUUCAACAGGGGGAUAAUCCGAAGAAAUUUGGUCUAAUACCCCAUAAUAUUCCGACAGGCAUCUGUUGGAGUUGAAAGCUUCGGUGGUUGGAGAUGGGCAUGCGUUGUAUUAGCUAGAUGGUGAGGUAACGGCUCACCAUGGCGAUGAUACAUAGGGGGACUGAGAGGUUUUCCCCCCACACUGGUACUGAGACACGGACCAGACUCCUACGGGAGGCAGCAGUGAGGAAUAUUGGUCAAUGGACGGAAGUCUGAACCAGCCAUGCCGCGUGCAGGAUGAAUGUGCUAUGCAUUGUAAACUGCUUUUGUACGAGGGUAAACACAGAUACGCGUAUCUGCUUGAAAGUAUCGUACGAAUAAGGAUCGGCUAACUCCGUGCCAGCAGCCGCGGUAAUACGGAGGAUCCGAGCGUUAUCCGGAUUUAUUGGGUUUAAAGGGUGCGUAGGCUGUUUUUUAAGUUAGAGGUGAAAGCUCGACGCUCAACGUCGAAAUUGCCUCUGAUACUGAGAGACUAGAGUGUAGUUGCGGAAGGCGGAAUGUGUGGUGUAGCGGUGAAAUGCUUAGAUAUCACACAGAACACCGAUUGCGAAGGCAGCUUUCCAAGCUAUUACUGACGCUGAGGCACGAAAGCGUGGGGAGCGAACAGGAUUAGAUACCCUGGUAGUCCACGCAGUAAACGAUGAUAACUCGUUGCCGGCGAUACACAGUCGGUGACUUAGCGAAAGCGUUAAGUUAUCCACCUGGGGAGUACGUUCGCAAGAAUGAAACUCAAAGGAAUUGAC